CAGCCGUAAACUAUGCGCGUUAGGUGUACUGGUGACCACGAGUCACCGGGGUGCCGAAGGGAAACCGUGAAACGUGCCGCCUGGGAAGUACGGUCGCAAGGCUGAAACUCAAAGGAAUUGGCGGGGGGAGCACCACAACGGGUGGAGCCUGCGGUUUAAUUGGACUCAACGCCGGAAAUCUCACCGGAUAGGACAGACAUAUGAUAGUCGGGCUGAAGACUCUACUUGAUGAUCUGAGAGGAGGUGCAUGGCGUCAGUGACU
rnacentral:rRNA from 1 species